rnacentral:rRNA from 1 species
UACGUAGGUGGCAAGCGUUGUCCGGAUUUACUGGGCGUAAAGCGUGCGCAGGCGGUUGUGCAAGACAGAUGUGAAAUCCCCGGGCUCAACCUGGGAACUGCAUUUGUGACUGCACGGCUAGAGUGUGUCAGAGGGGGGUAGAAUUCCACGUGUAGCAGUGAAAUGCGUAGAUAUGUGGAGGAAUACCGAUGGCGAAGGCAGCCCCCUGGGCCAACACUGACGCUCAUGCACGAAAGCGUGGGGAGCAAACAGG